AAAGAAUUUCAACAUUGAUAUUUAUGUCGUCCUAUUUCCCUCUUUUCACCAACAUUAUAUUUUAAACAGGGAUUUCAUUUUUCUCUGGUCCCUCGUCUCUCCUCCAGCUCGCUGUAGGACGCUUUGAUUGGGGGAACUCACCAAUAAAAUACUAUUUUAUAUACAUACAGCAUGUUGAUGAAAUAUUGAAUUAUUAUUUUGCAACAGACUUAGACUUUUUAGACUUUAUUGUCAUGGGGAAAUUAUUUUUCACAGCACUGUUAUGGUCAACACAGACAAUUUCCACCAAUGAACAUACAUUAUACAGUAUAACACAAACAGAGUUAGACAAUAAUUAACACAAUAGUUUUCAUUUAAACCCCUUAUGUAACCAAGCUGUCUAAAUUACUGUUAAGGAAAUAUGGCUGACAAAAUGAUUCAUACUUUGCAUUGCACACAGUACAUCAUUUUAUAAAUAAUAUGAAGCUCUAUUAUUAUAUUUUUGCACAGUUUUCCUUUAGGUGGUGGUGACACAGGCAGACUGGAGCAGUGGGUGGUGAACAUGAGACAGAAGGACUGGAGACCUACACCAUCAUCUCGUCUUUGCAGUGUUCAUUUUGAAGAGCAUGCCUUCACCAUGGACUCAAAGGGAAAUCGUUACCGACCACAGCUGUCCCUAUUCUGUUUCCAAGUCAUCAUUUGAGGACUUCUGGUGCAAAACGCAGGAUUUUGGAUAGUUGUGACACCAAGAUAAAUCCCCUGUCAUUUUCAAAUAGCAGGUUUUCUGGUGACAAUAAAGAGGAUUCAAUAGUGGACCAAUGCUACAUCAGCUUCUGCUGCCGAUUAAGAAGAAGAUUUACUUUAUUGAAAUUUCAGUUUUUACACUCUGUAGUCAUGCAACACACACAUGCACACAAACAGGAUCAUAUGGACAUGCACUAAUGGAGAGAUGGAGCUGCCCACAGUGGGGAGGGGGCACCUUGGCUUGGUGCUCAGAAGGUGAUCUGGCACCUCUCCAGCUACCAGACCAACUUCCAAACUUGGUCUGCACCGGGACUUGAACCGGUGACCCUCCGGUUCCCAACCCAAGUCCCUACAGACUGAGCUACUGUCAGGCUGACACCGCUGUAACAGUGGAUAGAAAUAUAGAAGAUCAUAGUUACACUGUUUAAGUUUCACAGUUGUACUGUGAGUAUCGAAAUAAUAACUCAACAGGAGACACUGUGGUGCAGUGUAGUUCUCUCAUUUGUUAUCUGCAGCUGCAGUAUCUUGUUUUACCACUUCAACUUCAUCAUCACACCUCAUUAUAUUGGACCGCCUGCACUUGACGCUUUUGUGAAUAAGAAUGGUCAAAAGACGUUUCACACACUCCCUUUCUGUGACACGCUGAGAGCCUGAAGCAGAACGCCUGAGUUAACAGACAAAGUUCAUAAUCAGCUCAUGCUAUCAGAUAUCUUUAUCUGCAGCUUCUGGCUUUGCUGAACCAGCUUUCUCAAAGAAAACCUGGAUAUGUUGAACUUGCUUCAGAUACAACAAAUGAUCAAUUUACUGAUCAAUAACCUAAACAGCCAAAUACCGCCACCUAGUGUUUAAAGUGAGAUUUGUCUAAACUAAAUGUGUUGAUGUGUUUGCACUUCAGAAAUAAAAUAAAAAAUCCAUGGCUAACAAAAACCAGUAUAAACCGGUUCUGCUCAUCUGUCUGUCCCUGUCCAUAGGCUCACUGACUUGAAGAGAGAGGACACUUGGCUUCAAUGUACGAGACACACAAGUCCCAGAUUGAAUCACUCUAUCAGAAGAUGCUCUCAGAUUCAGAUCCAUCAGCAACCCCUGACA